rnacentral:rRNA from 1 species
UACGAAGGGGGCUAGCGUUGCUCGGAAUUACUGGGCGUAAAGGGAGCGUAGGCGGGUUAUCAAGUUGGAGGUGAAAGCCCAGGGCUCAACCUUGGAAUUGCCUUCAAAACUGAUAGCCUAGAGUAUGAUAGAGGUAAGUGGAACUCCGAGUGUAGAGGUGAAAUUCGUAGAUAUUCGGAAGAACACCAGUGGCGAAGGCGACUUACUGGAUCAUGACUGACGCUGAGGAGCGAAAGCGUGGGUAGCAAACAGG